AACGAACGCUGGCGGCAUGCCUAACACAUGCAAGUCGAACGAGACCUUCGGGUCUAGUGGCGCACGGGUGCGUAACGCGUGGGAACCUGCCCUUAGGUUCGGAAUAACUCCCCGAAAGGGGUGCUAAUACCGGAUAAUGUCUUCGGACCAAAGAUUUAUCGCCUUUGGAUGAGCCCGCGUUGGAUUAGCUAGUUGGUAGGGUAAAAGCCUACCAAGGCGACGAUCCAUAGCUGGUCUGAGAGGAUGAUCAGCCACACUGGGAUUGAGACACGGCCCAGACUCCUACGGGAGGCAGCAGUGGGGAAUAUUGGACAAUGGGCGAAAGCCUGAUCCAGCAAUGCCGCGUGAGUGAUGAAGGCCUUAGGGUUGUAAAGCUCUUUUACCCGGGAUGAUAAUGACAGUACCGGGAGAAUAAGCUCCGGCUAACUCCGUG
rnacentral:rRNA from 1 species